rnacentral:rRNA from 1 species
CCUUCGGGAACUCUGACACAGGUGCUGCAUGGCUGUCGUCAGCUCGUGUCGUGAGGAUGUUGGGUUAAGUCCCGUAACGAGCCGCAACCCUUGUCCUUAGGUUACCAGCACGUUAUGGUGGGCACUCUAAGGAGACUGCCGGUGACGAAACCGGAGGAAGGUGGGGAUGACGUCAAGUCAUCAUGGCCCUUACGGCCUGGGCUACACACGUGCUACAAUGGUCGGUACAAAGGGUUGCCAAGCCGCGAGGUGGAGCUAAUCCCAAUAAAACCGAUCGUAGUCCGGAUCGCAGUCUGCAACUCGACUGCGUGAAGUCGGAAUCGCUAGUAAUCGUGAAUCAGAAUGUCACGGUGAAUACGUUCCCGGGCCUU